rnacentral:tRNA from 1 species
GGGCGAUUAGUUUAGUGGUAGAACAGCGGUCUCCAAAACCGCUGGCGGAAGUUCGAUUCUUCCAUCGCCCG